GUAUGUUGUACGUAUUCUGAAAGGGAAUACGUUCUUCGGUACAAUAUACAAAGGUGCUGCAUGGUUGUCGUCAGCUCGUGCCGUGAGGUGUCGGGUUAAGUCCCAUAACGAGCGCAACCCUACCUUUAGUUGCCAUCAGGUAAUGCUGGGGACGUCUAAAGGAACUGCCUACGCAAGUAGUGAGGAAGGCGGGGAUGACGUCAAAUCAGCACGGCCCUUACGUCCAGGGCUACACACGUGCUACAAUGGCCGAUACAGAGGGCAGCUACCUGGUGACAGGAUGCAAAUCUCCAAAGUCGGUCUCAGUUCGGAUCGGAGUCUGCAACCCGACUCCGUGAAGUUGGAUUCGCUAGUAAUCGCGCAUCAGCCAUGGCGCGGUGAAUACGUUCCCGGGCCUU
rnacentral:rRNA from 1 species